rnacentral:tRNA from 1 species
ACUAAUUUGGCAGAUAAGUGCGGUGGAUUUAGAAUCUAUGUAUGUGUAGGUAACACAUUUAGUA